CAAUCAUAUGCACUUACAAAAAGAAAGUGUCUAGGCACUCUUAUAUGUGGUUUUUAAGAUUCCAUCGUAAAUCUAAUUCUUCGUAUUGCCAAACUUGAUUCGCAUUACCGUAAAUUUACGACGUAAAUGGAAAGGUCGCUUAACGUAAUAACGCAUAUUGGGUGAUAAAAUGUAUGUCUUUUUCAAUAUUCAUCACAAACCACUCAACUCAUAUCUUGUGACGCCCCAAAAUUGAUGUCGAUUAACAAAUAAUUUGUUGUCAUUACUUUUGAGCGUAAAUCUAAUUGAAUUAUUUGAAUGAAAUAAUAAACACUUGAGAAAAUUUAUAAUCUCAUUGAUAUGUCAAAAUAUUAAAUGAUCUGAUUUGAAAAUGAAUUGGGUAUAAAAGGGGCAAAAUUGUGGUGUUAUUCUAACAUUUGAUCUUCAAUUGCAACAAUUUAUAUCCGUUUAUUCAAGAAGGUGAAUAAUUAUAUCAACAACAAUUAUACUGAAAUUGUACCAAACAACUCAAACAUUUAAAUUAAUUAAACGUUUUUAUGUGACUGAAAGUUUUCCGCUAAAUACUUAACGCUCAUUUCAACUUUUUAUCUUACAGUCUGACGAUUACGGGGAGCUGCUGGAAAAUCAGUUAUUUCAAUUAUGCAGGUUUUUAAAUUUGUUUGUGUGGCAGAAACGUGCAUUGCAGCCAACGGACGAGAAACAUAGUGCAGUCAUAAAACAAAAAAUAAAUUGGUAUGAAAAUGGUGUGUUUUAUCAAAUUUAUCCGCGGUCGUUUAAAGACAGUGAUGGCGAUGGGAUUGGGGACAUUCGUGGUGUCAUUCAAGAGUUGGACUGCUUGAAAGAAUUGGGCAUUGAUGGAGCUUGGCUGUCGCCAAUUUUUAAAAGAGCUUGAAAAUAGUGACACAAACUGGGUGCUUAACAAUUUCGGGAAUCUCGAACAACGAAUUGAUAUGACUUAAAGUGAACUUGGCAAAAAUAUCCCCGAGGAACUCGAAUUGGCAGCAGUAAGCACAGACUCAUGUUUGGUAAAAGGGCGAACAGUGAAAGCGACUGAAAUUACUUUGGGAAAAUACACCGCAAUCAUUUUGAAAGCGCCUCUUACAUGAGUAUAAAGUUAAAAUAGCAAGGGAAUUCUACCAAAAUUUGAACACAAAUUGCCCGCUAUAUACAUUGCGUAUUUAAUUUUCUGAAUACUCAUCAAUUACCGGAGCAAUUAGCGAGAUAAGUGCUUGUAAUAUAUACCGAAUAUAUGUAGCUUUAGAUUUAACUAUUUUUAUUUAUUCAUCUUAUGGUUCUUACUGUUUCCCAAUUUUAUAUC